UGCCCUUGACUAAGUAAAGCCGUGGAAGAAGUGAUUUUUAGCUGCUCCCAAUGAGCCCUAACACACGCCUCUGAAUAAUCACAUUAUCGUGUCCCUUGUGGCAUAGGUGCCUGCUACCUUGACGAUGGAAAUAAUAAAGAAGUAAAGUUAGAUCAUAAAAGUAAGGAAAUGGUUAAACUGAGGAGAGGGAGGCUGAAUUUAUGGAGCACAGGGGAGUUUUAGGGCAGUGGAAGUAUUUUGUGUGAUGUGGUGUAUACAUGUCAUUUUACAUUUGUCGAAAUUCAUAGAACUAUAGCAUCCAACCAGAGCCAUAAUGUACAUAUGAACUCUGAGUAAUAACGACGUGACCAAGAUUGGUUCCCCAGCUGCAACAAUUAUACCCCUCUGCUGGGGAAACGGAGGAGGCUGUGCAUAUUUGGUAGGGAGGGAGAGAACAGUUAAUUAUGGGGCAAACUCUGUAUUUUCUGUUCAACUUUGCUAUGGACAUAAAACUGCUCUGAAAAUGUAGUCUAUAAAGCAUGCGAGCAAACUGACAGCCUCCAGGAGCACCGUAGUUAUUUCUGAUAUAGCUCUGCUGCCAUCGUUUGCAGUCUGAGAAUGUCAAUACUGUCCCAGGAGUUCUCAGACAAGCCACGCACUGAGUUAAUUUUCUUCUAACUACUGACUUCUUUCUCAUAGCAAGAAAUCAACAAUAAUUUUUAUGAUCUUUUCUGAUAUCUUUUUUAAAUAUAAUGAUUAUACAAUGAUUUCUUUUCCUUUGGGAAGAUACCCAGUAGUGGGAUUGCUGGAUCAAAUUGUAAUUCUGUUUUUAGUUUUUUGGAGAAAUCUCCGUUCUGUUUUUCACGGUGGUUGUACUAGUUUACAUUCCCACCAGCAGUGGAUAAGCGUUUCCUUUCCUCCACAUCGUCGCCAACAUCUGUUAUUUAUGAUAGCCAUUCUUACUGGGUUAAGACUCGAGGUGAAAUUGAAGCCCCAGCCAACCACUUGUCUGCAAACCUGUGAGGAACCAUUAUACAAAGGCAAAGCUGCCUUUGGAUUCCGGAGUCUCAGAAACUAAAUAGAUCUAUAUCGAUAUAGACGGCUAUGUCCUAACCGUGCUGGUAAGUAUCAUAGCCAUAUCUUGCCAUAUUGCAAAUCUUGUUUGGUUUUUUGUUCCUUGACUAUGCAUAGGAGAUAGA
ensembl:lncRNA